UUCUUCCAGAUACAGAAGUGAAGUUUGAUCUAUUUUUUAUUUUUAUUACUAUCGGCCACUAACUUAGUUGGUUUUUAAUGUAACACUUUGGCAGGCCUAAACCACAUGCAAACUGGGUAGUUAUCUGGAGCAAAUUUAAUUAAGAAUCAUUAUGUCCCCUGAAAGGACAACCAGAGUUUGUGCCUUCUCUAAAUACUUGGUCCAAAUCAAAACAUCAAUUGUCCUUUUCUUAAUGAAAAAAAAAAAACCUCAACUCCAUACUUUAUUCUGGUUUCAUUGAUUUUUCCCGAAUAACAUUUUUUCUGUUUCAACAUCCUAAUUGGGAUACCACAUUGUAUUGGUUUGUCAUGUCUUCCUAACUCCUCUGGACUGUGGCAGUUUUUCAAACUCUCCUUUUUUGGGGUAACCACAAAAGUUUUGAGGAGAGCUAGUCAGGUGAAAUGCCUUUCAAUUGGAUUUUUCUAAAUUUUUCUUUUCAUAGUUACACUUGAGUUAUUGUCUUCCCACAGAGAAAAGACCACAGAGGCAAAAUGGCAUUUUAAACACAUGAUAUCAAGUGUGCAUAUCAUCAACGUGACUUAUGACCAAUGACGUUAACCUCGACCAUCUGGCUAAUGUGCUGUUUGCCAACUUCUCCACUGUAAAGUUGCUUCUUUCUCCCUUUCCAUCCUGUAUUCUUUGGAAUCAAGAUGCUAAUUGUAGCCCACACUUAAGGAGUGGGGAGUUCUGUCUUUAACCAUAGUGAAGAAUUUUAUUUACUGGAAUUUCAUUUAAAGUUGGAGUGGGAAGGAGGAUGAUUCUCAGAAGAACAAUAGUGUAAAGAACAGAAGAACAAUACUGUAAAGCAUAAGGGGUGAGGGAGUUCCCAUAUUAUAAGCAUGAUGGGCAGAAAUAUUGCAGAGUAGGGAAUGAAGAAAUGGGAAGCCACAUGCUGGUGAAAGGAAGGUUUGGAAAAAGAGAGAAAAUUUAGCAGUUGUUCUCACUGAAAAAUUUUGUGAAGAGAUACCUAGAGAGAAUGUUGUGAAUGUUUUCUGAGCAACUCACUGUGAGAAGCCCCUAUACUACAUCUUUGAGAAAACUUACAGUAAAGAUUUACAUUCAUCUUCUAGGUACCAGAAACUACACUGUUAUCUUGUCCAGGCAAAAACUGGUCCACAAGAGAGUCCUAUCAUAUUUGGGUUGUACCAGCAAACAAUAAGUUGGGCUGGGUCUAGAUCUGAAAUGAAAGAUCUGUAAUCCAAAGACCAGAUCAAGCAUAUUGUUUAAUUUCUUCAACCUCAAGGAACUUAUAAAAUUGCUUAUAGUAGCAGAUUUUUGCAAUGGCAUCCAUUAGUUCCACAGCAGUUUCCCAUUAUUUAUCUAAACAUGCAAGGGGUAGAGUGGCUAAUAGUGGGAUCUUUGGACUGUCUUGAAGAUUGGACUCUUUUGUUAAUUUUGUAUUCCUCGAUUAUUGCUUAUACAUAUAUUGUACUCCAUUGUGACUCAUAUUUUUUGGUCAUUACUUUUUACUUACAUAUAACCCAUAACGUUUUUUAUGUAUGUUUCUACUGCAGAGAGAAAGAUUAUUCCCCCACUCAAUACCUAUUAACUGAUUGGCUGCUUUAUGGUUGCUAUUUCCAUUCUGCACACUUGUGUUGAAAGAUAAAGCUUCGAUAACUUACAAGGAGCAGUUUAGCAAGUUGAAAGAAACUAGAUGUAGGAUCCAUGUGUUUCCACAAAGGAUAUGCAGGCUUCAACUAGAAAGAUGAUUUAAGUGUUUAGGGAAGAAAUAAGCAUGUUCUAACAAGAGUUUUGCAGUCAGCAAAACAAGGUAUGUGGUAAAUAGGUCCUAUCUUGGGAAUUGCCAGAGCCCAGAGCUUGUGCUGUUGGCCCAUCCAAGGAAACCAGUUAAAUUAACUGUCUGGAAGGCAUCCACAGAGAUCCUUGGCUGGGAGGCAGAAGCAGGACAUGGAACAGGUGCCCCUUUCCACUAUUCCUGGGCACAAAGUCUCAUUUCCAGCACACGCUGUGGCAGCAGGAGAUGCAGUAAAUCAACCAAGCUUCAUUUCAUCUCAGAAGUCCUCUGUGUACUAAUAAUGCAGGGAAACUUAGCUCAUGAAGGAAAGAAAAAAUAAAUAAAUGCUGACGGUUGUUAGAGCUAGUCCCAGUGAUAAGCCUGGAACAGGCAAAUAUUCUUAGUGAUUCAGACAAUUACUAUUAAACAGAGGCCAGUUUCCAAGUGACGUUGUGGUGCCAAACACAGCUUUUAUCAUUUUUGAUGAGAUUUUUAUGAUGCUUGUUAUCUGCCAAUAUUAUUAAUGUUGUUAAUGACAUAAAAAAAUUAGCAUUUGCCACCUGUGUGCCAGAAGGCAGGCCUUCUUCCUUCUUUGGUCUUUGUUCUCACUAGUUUCAUAGGCCAUCUUUGCUUUGAGAAGGAGCAAAGUUGUCAGCCUAGACCUUGUUUGAGUUCUUGUCUGAAAUAUACUGGUCACCUAAGUGCAUAAUUCAAAGAAGCCUCCAGCUUGGUAGCUCCUGGGCCUCAGUCCUUCAAUUUGCCUUUUAAGACUGCUGGGAAAUAAUAGCAUUCAGUUAGCUGUUACUCUCACAUUAGAAAAGUAAAAUGAAGUAUUCCACAGAAAAAAAAUAAAAUAUUUUGUUUCAACAUCAAAAUCUUAAGUGGGAUUGGAUAUGAACCCUAGAAGAAGACCAUCUCUGGGAAAUCCCUAUUGCAAGGACAGAAGCAAUAAGAUUCUUAGCCAGAAAGAAGCGAUCCUUGGGCCAAAUGCAGUGCUGCCCCCAGUGGUCUGGAUAGCAAUGCUCUGUGAGACCAGCAGCUUUCAGUCUUGGGAAGAACUCAAAUCUCCAUCAGAUAAAAAUGUCUAAACUGGCCCAUACCCGUAUUAUCAUGGGGUGGACUUGGGUGCCGUGUGGACUGUGCAGGCCACAUUUGGGUUGGUUAAGUGUCUUAAUCUGCCCUGUACCCAUAGCUAAUGUAUCCUUAAGUGGGAAAGGAGAGACAGAUGAUAGAUAACUAAAUACAACUACAGUCUGCAUCAUUCACUAAAGCAAGUCAAGUGACCAACCCCAGAUCCAAGGAGUGUGGAAAUAGACUCUGCUCUAGACGCUACCUCAUAGAAAGAGGAAUUAUGAGAUCACCUGAAAAAGGAUACAUGAAUACAGGGUUGGGCAAAGAAUUAGGACAAAUGGUGCAAUCCAUCACUACCAGUUUAACAUCAUCUCUUUCAGAUUAACUCAGUCUCAUUUGGGCAAAUAAUUAAUCACUUUUUAUUCAAAUGCUCUAGAAGGAUUGUUAUCUCUUCCUUCUCAGUGGAUCUCACAACCUGAUCUUUCCUUCUAAUACAGUGUUUGGGAACAGAACAAGUAAGAAUGGACAGAGGAAUACCAUGUGCUGACUGACGAACGCCUGGGUUUCUGAACCAAUUGCCAUCAAGGGGAUUGGGAUUACCAUAAUUUUUGCUGAGACUAAGCCCCACCCCAGUAACCAAAGGCUUAUGGGUGGAAUGCAAGCUAUUGGAAGUAUUUGAAGAUGUGACCAAGGAAGCUAUGAGAAUUGGAAAUGAGGCAGUUGUUUAGAAACGGGCUGAUGUGCUUGUGGCAGUGUUUCAAGAACCCAGCUCCAUUCAUCCUAUGAUGCCACCAUCCUCAGCAUUUGACUUCCAUGGCUCCUGUAAGAGAAGAGAAC
rnacentral:lncRNA from 1 species